rnacentral:rRNA from 1 species
UACGAAGGGGACUAGCGUUGUUCGGAUUUACUGGGCGUAAAGCGCACGUAGGCGGCUUUCUAAGUCAGGGGUGAAAUCCUGGAGCUCAACUCCAGAACUGCCCUUGAUACUGGAGAGCUUGAGUUCGGGAGAGGUGAGUGGAACUGCGAGUGUAGAGGUGAAAUUCGUAGAUAUUCGCAAGAACACCAGUGGCGAAGGCGGCUCACUGGCCCGAUACUGACGCUGAGGUGCGAAAGCGUGGGGAGCAAACAGG